GAGAUAGAGACAUAUAUAUGUAUAUAUAUAUAUGGAUGUGUGUACAUAUAUAUUUACACAUAUGUACAUAUAUAUUUGAAUAUGUGUGUGUGUGUGUAUGUGUAUAUAUGUGUGUGUAACCGAAAUAUAACGAAUAUAAUUAAGAAUAAUUGACGCCUACCCGUUCAACCAAAAGACAACGUGCCCAGGCUUCCAUAAGGAUAAUUUGGCAACGAUCGAGAAAUCGUAGGUUUUUCCCGCCCGGAAUUAUACUUAAAGGCAGCCACUGCGCACCCCAUCCCGCCACUCCUCAUCUGCGUCUGCUGCGAAUAGGUACCAUGCGCCUGAGGCCCUUGUCUUGCCUGCUGCUCCUGAGCCUCGUCCUCGCCGUGACCUCCCACCAUAAAAUUCAACAUUUGGCCGAUGAUGUCCCGAAGCCAUUCUCUUUGCUCUGGGUCUUGCCUUGCUGGGAUGAAUGCGUCAGGAAAACCAGUGCUGGAUAUUGUGUACUCGACUGGCUGUGCGAGGUCUCAAAAAGACACUCAUGAAACGUCGGUAGAGAACCAAACUGAAAGCUUUGUGAAGGAAUAAAUAAAGAUUAAAAGCAGGCUCUCCCUGGAUCAUGGUGUUUAUUUUCA